ACGAGCAGGGCCGCGCCUCGAGGUAUACGACGCGCCGACGCCGACAUCGCUGGUGCGGCGGAGAUCUCGCUGCCGAUCUAGGAUGUGCCCUGGGCGCACUUCCACCACAUCCCAGUACGCGCUGGAUGUGAACGUGGAGAGGGUGGAGGACAUGGUGACGCACCAGCGGCUGCUCGAGGAGGCCCGAUACCUAUAGCACCGGCUUUCCUUGGCGGUGGGCUUCGUUCAGAUUGCAGAGAUACUAUCCAAGCUACAAAUAAAGGAUGGAGGCCAAGAGAGAUUGUGAUGUAGGAUGGUUGCCAAAUAAGAAGGUUUACAAUGUGUUGCAGCAACAGUAGGUGGAACUAUUUAGCGGCUGUCAUUAGUGAGGUAAUCAUCAUUAUGCUCUUAUUCCCCCCUACAGAUGAAUACUGGAUAGAGUUUACUUUGUCUUCUGUUGCAACGCAAGUUUGUUAAAGAGGUCCUCUUCCAGCUCUAGACAAAUAUCUUUGGCAUGGUGCAAGGAUGGCCUCUACGCCUCACGACCUACCGCUUUCUUGGGGAAAAUGGAUUGAGCUUGAGAAAGGAAACAAAGAGCUUGUCUCAAGAAAGGGUUCUCUCUCAUAUUCUUAAUUAACCUGGUGGUGGAUAAUGGCCUACUGGUAUUUUGGUUUUAUGCCUGUGGGAUAUGGCAAGAGAUGAUGGUCUCAUGGAGCAUUGAUUUUACUUGAUGAGCCAUGCAGAGAGAGGCGGGCCACUAAGGGGGCUGACAGCGGCGGCCAUGGCGGAGUGGCAAUGGCAGAGUAGCCAAGAUGCAGCAGUCGAGUACCACAUUUAUACACAAGCAGAAGUCCUUAAUUUGACACACGAGAAGGUUAAGAAGACCUGCAAAUUAUGAUUAAAGUACAGUUUUAUAUCCCAGUUAAUUGACCAUGCUCUUUUCUGUUUUAUUUGCUGAUGCAACCUUUUUUUUUCAAGAAAACACAAAAGAGUUUGCGUUUCAUUUCAUUGAAAAGGAAGACAACAGGUUACAACCUCUAGAGAGGAGGGACACACACAAACACACACACACGACCGUCCUCACAAAGCGACUACAACUAGGUGAGGAGGUGCCUACGAUAAGUUUAGUCAAGAUAUCAAUGAUCUCCUAGAUUGUCGAUUGAACAUGCUCUCCCUUCUAUCACUCUUUUAUCAGCUGCAAGGUGCAAGUAAUCCAGUUUAACGCAGGCAUUACAUCCUUGCAUGCCGAGGGAGCAGAUGACAACGAGAGGAAGUAAAAAAGGAAAAAUGGAAGUGGAGCUGGCAAGUUACAUCCUUGUUUUUUUUUGUAUGUAUCGAUGAUGUAUUGUAUCAAGUCUUAACGUGUCCGAUACAAAUUUUCUUAUUAUACAAUAUGUAUUGUUCACAACUUGUCAACUUGCACAUAAGCAGUGUGGA